GCGGAUAGGGAGCGCGAGCGUGAAGAAACCGGCCGCCAUCUUACUGUACCCACAACAGUCGCCGCAGCGAUCAUGGCAACUUCUUGCAAUUACGGUCGUACCAACCGUACUGGCAAGGUUACAGGGCCUAAAUUUAUACAGGUUUUGUCAUGAGGGCUACCCAGUGAAUUAUCUGUGCAGUGUGAUACGGCUGGGUGUACAGGUUACUUCACAGCUGCCUCAACAUACUCAAGAAAUGGGUGCAGAACCUGCGUAAUGCCCACAAAGUUUGACUACCACAGCACCUCCAUAAAGUAAAGGCAUAUGUGUCACAUGGGAUUUUUAAAGGCAUUCACAGUAUAUAAUACCUUGUAUGAACUGUUGUUGAUCUAAGCAGCCUCUACAGUACACUCUCAGAAAUUAAAACUUGUCAGGGAACUGUGAUAAUUGUUCCAGUUAAUAGGCAUGCAUAUGUACGCUAUAAGAAAAUUAUUUAUUGAGAAUGCACUACUGUUGAUCACACUCGUGCAGCUGUAGGUUUACCUUCGGCCUCUUGGAACUCUUUUUUUUAGUUGCCUUAGCUGCAGGAGGAGUGUCAUCGAGCAUGUCAACUACUUGCAGAAAUAUUGACGUAUUUAAGAUUAUGACACAGUUUGAAGGGUUUCAAUUCAGGAAAUUUGCAGUGGCAGGGCCUGCCAGAGUGAAACCUACUGAAUAUUUUAUGGUGUCGAAGUGGCAGUUCCUCCAGGAUAGGAAUAUCUUAGAUGGGAGCAAAAAGCUUGAAAUUAACAAAGUGUUGUUUGCAUUAAGCAAUUUGUAAUACACUGAACACAUAGGCAGCAAAACAAAAAUUUAAAAUUCAGCAUGUAUGAAAAUUGGGUGCAACAAAUUUGCAUAGUGUACGUGUACAUUGUCAUUCCUGAGAUAUAUAUUGUCAUUGCAGGGAGGUCACAAAACAAUAAAUGUAUUGUUUUGUCACUUCCCUGCACAUUCAUUGUAUCUUGAAAUGCGUAUAUGCCAGAAUAAAUGUUGAACUUGAAAAAUGUAUAUUCUCUUCAUUCAUAGAGCAUAA